rnacentral:rRNA from 1 species
GACGAACGCUGGCGGCGUGCUUAACACAUGCAAGUCGAACGGAAAGGCCCUGCUUUUGUGGGGUGCUCGAGUGGCGAACGGGUGAGUAACACGUGAGUAACCUGCCCUUGACUUUGGGAUAACUUCAGGAAACUGGGGCUAAUACCGGAUAGGAGCUCCUGCUGCAUGGUGGGGGUUGGAAAGUUUCGGCGGUUGGGGAUGGACUCGCGGCUUAUCAGCUUGUUGGUGGGGUAGUGGCUUACCAAGGCUUUGACGGGUAGCCGGCCUGAGAGGGUGACCGGCAACAUUGGGACUGAGAUACGGCCCAGACUCCUACGGGAGGCAGCAGUGGGGAAUAUGGCACAAUGGGCGGAAGCCUGAGGCAGCAACGCCGCGUGCGGGAUGACGGCCUUCGGGUUGUAAACCGCUUUCGCCUGUGACGAAGCGUGAGUGACGGUAAUGGGUAAAGAAGCACCGGCUAACUACGUG